rnacentral:tRNA from 1 species
GAGGGUAUAGCUCAAGUGGUAGGGCACACGCUUAGCAUCCAUGAGGUCCUCGGUUCAAUCCCCAGUACCUCCA